rnacentral:pre_miRNA from 1 species
GAAAUGCUCCCGUCGUUUGGGUCUCCCUGGGCCCAAACGACUAGAGCAUUUUGC